UGAAACCUGCUCAGGUGAAUGUCGGAUAUCUGCCAAAAGCAGGUAUUAAAGAGAUACCGGAGUCAGGAAGAG
ensembl:miRNA MIR9838 microRNA mir-9838